rnacentral:rRNA from 1 species
AGAGUUUGAUCAUGGCUCAGGAUGAACGCUGGCGGCGUGCCUAAUACAUGCAAGUCGAACGAGGUGCUUUUGUAGCAAUACGAGAGUAUCCUAGUGGCGAACGGGUGAGUAACGCGUUGGUGACCUACCCCAAAGUGUGGGAUAACAGUCCGAAAGGACUGCUAAUACCGCAUGUGGUCAUUGGGUUUAGAAACCGGUGACUAAAGGAGCAAUUCGCUUUGGGAGGGACCUGCGUCCCAUCAGCUAGUUGGUGAGGUAACGGCUCACCAAGGCGACGACGGGUAGGGGACCUGAGAGGGUGACCCCCCACAAUGGAACUGAAACACGGUCCAUACACCUACGGGUGGCAGCAGUAGGGAAUAUUGCUCAAUGGGCGAAAGCCUGAAGCAGCAACGCCGCGUGUGUGAUGAAGGCCUUCGGGUCGUAAAGCACUUUUCUGGGAGAUGAGAAAGGACAGUAUCCCAGGAAUAAGUCUCGGCUAACUACGUGCCAGCAGCCGCGGUAAUAC